GAUGAACGCUGGCGGCGUGCCUAAUACAUGCAAGUCGAGCGAACGGACGAGAAGCUUGCUUCUCUGAUGUUAGUGGCGGACGGGUGAGUAACACGUGGAUAACCUACCUAUAAUACUGGGAUAACUUCGGGAAACCGGAGCUAAUACCGGAUAAUAUUUUGAACCGCAUGGUUCAAAAGUGAAAGACGGUCUUGCUGUCACUUAUAGAUGGAUCCUCGCUGCAUUAGCUAGUUGGUAAGGUAACGGCUUACCAAGGCAACGAUGCAUAGCCGACCUGAGAGGGUGAUCGGCCACACUGGAACUGAGACACGGUCCAGACUCCUACGGGAGGCAGCAGUAGGGAAUCUUCCGCAAUGGGCGAAAGCCUGACGGAGCAACGCCGCGUGAGUGAUGAAGGCCUUCGGAUCGUAAAACUCUGUUAUUAGGGAAGAACAUAUGUGUAAGUAACUGUGCACAUCUUGACGGUACCUAAUCAGAAAGCCACGGCUAACUACGUG
rnacentral:rRNA from 1 species